CUGACGUGUCCUCACUGCAGCAGCGCUGUUAGGAAACAAGGUGAAAGAGCCUAGCAGACUUAAAACCAGCAGUACUGAUAACCUGCCAAAAGAAGGAGCAGAAGCUGCUUUUGUUUGCACUGUUUUCACGUGUCGUCUUGUCAAAGAGUGAGGUACUGAGCCCAGUGCUGAAGUUAAAUAUGCUAUGAUCUCUGCAUGGGAAACUGGUUUGGAAGCUGUCAUGACAGUAGAAUUACAUUCUUCAGUACAAUAUCUGAUUCACUGAAGCAUGCUGUCUGGUGAAAAUGACUGAUCCACUGUGAUUUCUGGCCAGGGAAGCAAAAUUGUGUUACAGGAGUAGUUGCCUUAGAGCACGGAAUUCUGAAGUUGACUGUACUUCUUCCUGACAUCCAUGUUCAUCCAGGACUCGUGAGAAAACAGUCAUUUUACUGCAUACUUUGUACAAGGUGUGUCUGCACUAAUGUCCUUGUCUUCAACAGAGGUGUGAUUUUUUGGAACCAAACCUCACAGCUGUCUCCAACUGAUGUUGUUUGCUUCAGCCAAGCUGUUGACAUCAUCAUCAGGGUGGAUGACCUUGUUGAAAGGGAUUAAUACCUACACCACUGUUUCAUUCAGAAGGUACACAGUACAUUUACCAUGACCAGGAAUACCACAUAUCAUUGUAUUUUGGCCAUAUAUGCCUGACAAGCAAAACUGUGUUGCUGCAUCUCAGUGCCUCUGCCUCCAAAGAAUUAAUUGUUCUUUAACUAUCUAAUUUUUAAAAAUUUCUGUGAUUUUUUAUUUGUUUGGUAAACUUUUUGAAUGUCACGUUUAGAUAAUUAUUAAAGGCUAUUUUUGUUGAAACAGCACCAUGUUAAAUGUGGUAGCGCUGAUGGUAACAGAAGUCUUGAUGAAUAGGAAGAUGUUGGCAUUAUUUUUCCACCUUCUACUUUCUCCUGUGGCAACUCCUUACUCUUAGUGUAUAAUACUUAUGAGUUAAAAUUGUUUGUAGUAUGGAAACAAGAACACUGCGUGGCUGACGUAACGCUUCCUUUAUUAAGGCUGUUUUGCUGGGCUUUGCCUACCUUCAGCUGGGAUUCAUGAUUCAUCUUCCAGUAGCGAAGAUCAUCCUACGCAGAAGUGCAUAAAUAUGAAAAGUAAUUAUUUAGGACUACAUGAUUCAGCAUUCUGUUAGAUGAGAAAUUGUUAUCAACAGUAAAAAGCCCAUGGAAGUGAAUGAUAAUGUGUUCAUAAUAGAAGGCAAAACAAAAUCUGUAAAUUCAGUAAUACUUUCCAGGAAUUUUGUUAUGUGCUUGGCCCCUGACACAAGUCAUACAUUUUAAACUCCUUUCAUGUGGCUAAACUGACUUGGCUAAUCAUGCAAGUAAAAUAAAGGAUGUGUGAAAAUAUUUUGAAGAUUUAUA
rnacentral:lncRNA from 1 species